GCCUUGACCGGUCCAAUAGCCUAAGUGGUUAGAGCGUCAGCCUCGGAUGCGGGAUGUCGUGAGUUCGAACCCCGAUCAAGUCA